GGGCCCAUAGCAUAGCCAGGUGGUGCGCACGGCUGAUAACCGUGAGGUCCGGCGUUCGAAUCGCCGUGGGCCCACCA
rnacentral:tRNA from 2 species